rnacentral:tRNA from 1 species
AGGAUUAUAGUUAAAUAUAACAUUUAAAUUGCAAUUAAAAAGUACCUAAAAGUUAAUCUUA